rnacentral:tRNA from 1 species
GGUGGCUCAGUGGUAGAGCACUUGCCUCGCAUGCACGAGGCCUUGGGUUCGAUUCCUCAGAACCA